UACAGAGGUCCCAAGCGUUGUUCGGAUUCACUGGGCGUAAAGGGUGCGUAGGCGGUUGGGUAAGUCUGACGUGAAAUCUCCGAGCCUAACUCGGAAACUGCGUCGGAUACUAUUCAACUCGAGGAAUGGAGGGGAGACUGGAAUUCUCGGUGUAGCAGUGAAAUGCGUAGAUAUCGAGAGGAACACCAGUGGCGAAGGCGAGUCUCUGGACAUUUCCUGACGCUGAGGCACGAAAGCCAGGGGAGCAAACGGG
rnacentral:rRNA from 1 species